UCUGCAACUCGACUCCAUGAAGUCGGAAUCGCUAGUAAUCGUAGAUCAGAAUGCUACGGUGAAUAUGUUCCUGGGCCUUGUACACACCGCCCGUCACACCAUGGGAGUGGGUUGCAAAAGAAGUGGGUAGCUUAACCUUAAUGGAGGGCGCCUACCACUUUGUGAUUCAUAACUGGGGUGAAGUCGUAACAAGGUAACCGUAGGGGAACCUGUGGUUGGAUCACCUCCUUAAAAUAAAAAGAUAUUGAUCAAAGUGGCGUGCCCACACAGAUUGUCUGAUGCAUGAAAUUAAUUACCAUUUUUCCUUAAAAAAGGUCUUGAG
rnacentral:rRNA from 1 species